AGGGCUCAUAACUUCAAUUGAGAUAUUAAAAAAAUUCAUUUCAUGUAGUCUUGACAAUUCUAUUUUUGUGUCUUGACAAUUCAAUCUUUAUGUCUUGACAAUUCUAUUUUUAUGUUUUAUACUUUCUAGUGAACCUCCAAUUCAUUAAAUGGAGUCUUGUUAAUUUUAUUUUGAACCCUCGACAAUUCUAUUUGGAAGUCUUGACAAUUAUGGUCAAGUGCUGUAUAAUAUAUAUUGAACUCAAUUGCAUGGAUAAGCUCA
rnacentral:lncRNA from 1 species